rnacentral:sRNA from 1 species
UACAGUGUUUCUAGCAACAUUGCUCUGAUUUUUGCUCUCAACUCACUCGGCACUUCAGUUGUUGCCUGGGAGGAUUGAGCAGUGUCACCAGGGGGCUUUUCCUGGUUCUGGGAGACUUCUGGGAGAACUAUAGUUUGUUUGCUCUUAUCUCGUGUCUCUUGAGCUUAUGUUUGUGAACAUCACUAGUAUGAGCUCUUGAAUCCUCUGAACGGUGCUUCUUCCUAGAGUGUUUAUAGCUCUCCUCUGAAUCAUAGUUCUCCUCGUCAGAUUCUGGGUGAUGUUUUUUCCUAUACUUCCUUGCCCUGUUCCGUUCGUCAUCAGAGUCUUUCUCCUGCUUGGCCA